GUCAACCUGAAUGGAAUAGGUCUAACUGAAUGGAAUAGGUCAACCUGAAUGGAAUAGGUUAACCUGAAUGGAAUAGGUCAACCUGAAUGGAAUAGGUCUAACUGAAUGGAAUAGGUCUAACUGAAUGGAAUAGGUCAACCUGAAUGGAAUAGGUCUAACUGAAUGGAAUAGGUCUAACUGAAUGGAAUAGGUCUAACUGAAUGGAAUAGGUCUAACUGAAUGGAAUAGGUCUAACUGAAUGGAAUAGGUCUAACUGAAUGGAAUAGGUCUAACCGAAUGGAAUAGGUCUAACUGAAUGGAAUAGGUCUAACUGAAUGGAAUAGGUCUAACUGAAUGGAAUAGGUCUAACUGAAUGGAAUAGGUCAACCUGAAUGGAAUAGGUCUAACUGAAUGGAAUAGGUCUAACUGAAUGGAAUAGGUUAACCUGAAUGGAAUAGGUCAACCUGAAUGGAAUAGGUCUAACUGAAUGGAAUAGGUCAACCUGAAUGGAAUAGGUUAACCUGAAUGGAAUAGGUCAACCUGAAUGGAAUAGGUCUAACUGAAUGGAAUAGGUCUAACUGAAUGGAAUAGGUCAACCUGAAUGGAAUAGGUCUAACUGAAUGGAAUAGGUCUAACUGAAUGGAAUAGGUCUAACUGAAUGGAAUAGGUCAACCUGAAUGGAAUAGGUCUAACUGAAUGGAAUAGGUCUAACUGAAUGGAAUAGGUCUAACUGAAUGGAAUAGGUCAACCUGAAUGGAAUAGGUCUAACUGAAUGGAAUAGGUCUAACUGAAUGGAAUAGGUCAACCUGAAUGGAAUAGGUCUAACUGAAUGGAAUAGGUCUAACUGAAUGGAAUAGGUCUAACUGAAUGGAAUAGGUCUAACUGAAUGGAAUAGGUCUAACCGAAUGGAAUAGGUCUAACCGAAUGGAAUAGGUCUAACCGAAUGGAAUAGGUCUAACUGAAUGGAAUAGGUCUAACUGAAUGGAAUAGGUCUAACUGAAUGGAAUAGGUCUAACUGAAUGGAAUAGGUCAACCUGAAUGGAAUAGGUUUAACUGAAUGUAAUAGGUCUAACUGAAUGGAAUAGGUCUAACUGAAUGGAAUAGGUCUAACUGAAUGGAAUAGGUCAACCUGAAUGGAAUAGGUCUAACUGAAUGGAAUAGGUCUAACUGAAUGGAAUAGGUCUAACUGAAUGGAAUAGGUCAACCUGAAUGGAAUAGGUCUAACUGAAUGGAAUAGGUCUAACUGAAUAAAUAGGUCUAACUGAAUGGAAUAGGUCAACCUGAAUGGAAUAGGUCUAACCGAAUGGAAUAGGUCUAACCGAAUGGAAUAGGUCUAACCAAAUGGAAUAGGUCUAACUGAAUGGAAUAGGUCUAACUGAAUGGAAUAGGUCUAACUGAAUGGAAUAGGUCAACCUGAAUGGAAUAGGUCUAACUGAAUGGAAUAGGUCUAACUGAAUGGAAUAGGUCAACCUGAAUGGAAUAGGUCUAACUGAAUGGAAUAGGUCUAACUGAAUGGAAUAGGUCAACCUGAAUGGAAUAGGUCUAACUGAAUGGAAUAGGUCAACCUGAAUGCCUCCAGGUGUAAUGCAUUACAUGGUUAUAAUGACUUGUAAGACUUACAUUAAGCACGUACGACCCACUGAUAAUGUAUUAUAACACAAAAGGGUCUCCAAAAGUAAGAAGUAACGCCCUUUCUUCUACUUCUCCAAAAGCAAGCCAUUCCAUUCCCGCGUUACGCAACAAGCACCGGGUGAAGUUGAGCUAAGGGGGGACACUUCCUCUCGAAGUCGACCAGGAGAAGCUAGAGACGUAUAAAGAAAGCCACAAACUGACCAGACGGUGUGGUGUUGACAAUAUCUUGGCGACACGUUAUGUACAGACUCUUUGCAUUCCUACUCCAGUCUGUCGGGUUUCCUCUAGUAAUCCAUUUACCUCAGUCUGUGUGUCUCCUAAAUAGCACCCUAUUCCCUACGUAGUGCACUAUAUAGGGAAUAGGCUGCCAUUUGGAACUUAACUUCAGUCUGACUGCAGCCUGAAUGUGUUUUAUUAUUUUAGUGGGAAAACAGAGUCAAAAACAGCCAUUAGCCAGCUAAACCCCAUGGUCCCCUAGACACCAGUUAGAGCACUGCCUGGCCUGGACAGAAAGUCACAGAAAGACCCAGCCAAGCCAAGUAAAUGGCAUCAGUAAAUGAAUGAGAUGUUCAGUAGUCUAUGACCCUGGCAUCCGGUCCAGUCAGCUCUGAAGGCAAGCAGAGACAGCCCAGCCCAGUCAUACUAUACUCAGGGUACUGUCAGUAGGCUAGCAGGAACAGAUGAUGGGGUUUUCCUCAGAGGUGAAUUUGUUGCCUUGCUGUGGGUGGUCACGACAACUGAACCAGCAUUCAUUUAUAAAACUAGACUGGUGAUACAGUAUUUAUUACCAUAAAACUAGACUGAUGAUAAUGCAUUUAUUAUCAUAAAACUAGCCUGGUGAUACAGUACUCAUUAAUAAAACUAGACUGGUGAUACAUUACUCAUUAAUAAAACUAGACUGGUGAUACAUUACUCAUUAAUAAAACUAGCCUGGUGAUACAGUACUCAUUAAUAACACUAGACUGGUGAUACAUUACUCAUUAAUAAAACUAGCCUGGUGAUACAGUACUCAUUAAUAACACUAGACUGGUGAUACAGUACUCAUUAAUAAAACUAGACUGGUGAUACAGUACUCAUUAAUAAAACUAGACUGGUGAUACAUUACUCAUUAAUAAAACUAGACUGGUGAUACAGUACUCAUUAAUAAAACUAGACUGGUGAUACAGUACUCAUUAAUAACACUAGACUGGUGAUACAGUACUCAUUAAUAUAACUAGACUGGUGAUACAGUACUCAUUAAUAAAACUAGACUGGUGAUAUGGCAUUUAUUAUCAUAAAACUAGACUGGUGAUACAGUACUCAUUAAUAAAACUAGACUGGUGAUACAGUACUCAUUAAUAACACUAGACUGGUGAUACAGUACUCAUUAAUAAAACUAGACUGGUGAUAUGGCAUUUAUUAUCAUAAAACUAGACUGGUGAUACAGUACUCAUUAAUAACACUAGACUGGUGAUACAGUACUCAUUAAUAAAACUAGACUGGUGAUACAGUACUCAUUAAUAACACUAGACUGGUGAUACAGUACUCAUUAAUAACACUAGACUGGUGAUACAGUACUCAUUAAUAAAACUAGACUGAUGAUACAGUACUCAUUAAUAACACUAGACUGAUGAUACAGUACUCAUUAAUAAAACUAGAAUGGUGAUACAGUACUCAUUAAUAAAACUAGACUGGUGAUACAGUACUCAUUAAUAUAACUAGACUGAUGAUAUGGCAUUUAUUGGGGAUGCAGGUAGCCUAGUGGUUAGAGCGUUGGGCCAGUAACUGAAAGUUUGCUGGAUCGAAUUCCCGAGCUGACAAGAUAAAAAUCUGUUGUUCUGCCCCUGAACAAGGCAGUUAACCCACUGUUAAUAGGCCGUCAUUGUAAAUAAUAAUUUAUUAUUAACUGUUUUGCCUAGUUAAAUUUUUUCUACAAAUAUUCUACCUCAUAGAGAGAGAGAAUGUUGAGUUCAGUUGGCAUUUCCCUGCAAUGUCCUUCUUGAAAGCCAGCAACAGGAAUGCACACGCCUAUAUGUAGAAGACUAACAGAGCUAUACACUGUAGUGUAAGCCCAAAAUAUGUUCCUUUCCUGUUACUCUAUCUGUGGAGACGUGUGGUGUCCUCAUGUCGUUCAGUCUCACCAACAAUAGACCGACAGAGGAGUUGGUUUACAAUCUGGCAGGGCCCACAACAGAACCAGGUGACUGGGCUAGUAUUGGGGUGUGUGAGUGUGUGAGUAUGUGAGUGUUUAGGGUCUACUCAUACCAUGUCAACCUUGUCAAGAGUCCUGACCCUCUAAGGCCCCUGUUACUCGAGUGCCUGACUAACUAAUCCAGUUUCCCCAUCCUGCCCCAGAAAUGGAAGCCAUCGCCGCCACCCAGGAAAGUAGAGCUCACUUCCAGUAAGCUCACAAUGGUGAAACAAGAGCAGGGAUGAAGAAACAACAAACAAAAACGAAACCAGAUCUUACUCAGGCUUUGCCCUACUGUGCACUCAGUCAAUCUCUAUUGUAUUCUACUCUAUUCUAGAAUCUACACCCUGAAUUAGAUUUGAGCAAACCUGGAAAAAGUGUGUUCCCUUUGCUUGGGUGGCCAAGCCAAGUAAAACAGGUUAGCCCCCUAGCUCUACCUCUGCCACCCUACUGUUAACAUGAGGUAAUAUCUGAUCUGACACACUAAAACACAUUCAAUGUCUGGAUAUGUAAUCUCAGCUGUAUAACACCACUGGGUAGGCCUACUGGCUAGUGUGUGUGUGUCACAGGAGGCUGCGGCUCAUAAUAAUGUCCGAAAACGGAGCAAAUGGAAACCAUUUGUUUAAUGCAUUUGAUACCAUUCCACCUUCUGCACCAACCAUUACCACAAAUCUGUCCUCCCCAAUUAAAAAAUAUUCAUACUCAACAAAAUAAACCUGUCACCAACCCCCUGUGGUGUGUGUGUGUGUGUGUGUGUGUGUGUGUGUGUGUGUGUGUGUGUGUGUGUGUGUGUGUGUGUGUGUGUGUGUGUGUGUGCGUGUGUGUGUGUGUGUGUGUGUGUGUGUGUGUGUGUGUGUGUGUGUGUGUGUGUGUGUGUGUGUGUGUGUGUGUGUGUGUGUGUGUGUGUGUGUGUGUGUGUGUGUGUGUGUGUGUGUGUGUGUGUGUAGGCCAAUUGUAUAGUUCCUCAGAGCUGUCAACCCAAUGUUGGCUUAUCUACCCACAAUCCACUGCCCUAAAUGAAGUGUGAUACUUCUCGUGUGCACUAAAUCACCAACAGUGAGACUUUUCUUUGACACCUCCCAUUGCUCAGACACACACAGACACACACAGACACACACAGACACACACAGACACGCACGGAUACACACGGACACACACGGACACACACAGACACACACAGACACACACAGACACACACGGACACACACAGACACACACACACAACAAUAUGGAGCCGGACAAUAAACAGAUGUUAUCCAGAUGACAGCAUUUCAGUGAACAGGCCCCUAUUGAGAGCCCUGUGGAACACCUGGAAGAACACAUUUCUGGUUGUAUGAAGACAUUUCUUAUUUAGGCCCUGGCUUGGAUCAGUUGGUUUUCCAGGUAGGGGAGAGAGAGCAAGGGAACAUGUUACUGGAGAUAUGCACUA